rfam:Mus musculus chromosome 2, GRC primary reference assembly.
UGAUUGACCUUUCUCAAGGUCACAACAAAUUCUGGAAAAAAAGUUAU